rnacentral:rRNA from 1 species
AACGAACGCUGGCGGCAGGCUUAACACAUGCAAGUCGAACGCUCGUAGCAAUACGGGAGUGGCGGACGGGUGAGUAACGCGUGGGAACGUGCCCUGAGGUACGGAAUAACUGCGGGAAACUGCAGCUAAUACCGUAUGAGCCCCGCAAGGGGGAAAGAUUUAUCGCCUUGGGAGCGGCCCGCGUCGGAUUAGCUAGUUGGUGGGGUAACGGCCUACCAAGGCUUCGAUCCGUAGCUGGUCUGAGAGGACGAUCAGCCACACUGGGACUGAGACACGGCCCAGACUCCUACGGGAGGCAGCAGUGGGGAAUCUUGCGCAAUGGGGGCAACCCUGACGCAGCCAUGCCGCGUGAAUGAUGAAGGCCUUAGGGUUGUAAAGUUCUUUGCCCGUGACGAUGAUGACGGUAACGGGAGAAUAAGCUCCGGCUAACUCGUGCCAGCAGCCGCGGUAAU